CCCGCGCUCUGCAGCUGGAGACCAGCCCCCGCCCGCAGCAGCUGGCACAGCCCAAAAUAUGUAAGUCCCAGAAGAACUUCUCAGGCAAGCAAAAGCGGAGACUAUGAGUACUAAGCCUGCCCUGAAAGUCGUCAAGGACGGUCAGCAAAGUGUCAUUUGCUUCUCUGCUUUUCCUCCAUCUCUGCAUUCAAGAGACAGUGGAGCGUAGUUUUAGGUAUAAAUUCUCCUUGGUUCUAAAUAUCAACGCCAGCAUUGCUAGUAAUUGAUUGUGAAUGGCCGUCGUCUGUAUUUUGGCUGGGGUGUGUGCUAGAGACGUGUCUGGGAGCUGCCCAGCAAAUGUAACUGCCGAUUCUAAUUACAAUUCUGUCAGGAAAAAGCACUCCAGUUUCAAAUAACUUUUGGACCAGAGUUGACUUGAGAAUUAAGAACUUAGCGUCCUUUUCACUGUCUUUUCUUGGUACAUUAAGUUGUGUUUCAAGAAAGCCAAGACUCUUCAUGUUUCUCCUCCUCAGUAAUUGAAAUGACUAGUUUAGAAGUCAGUGAGGUAGCAAGAACAGGAGGAAAGUAUCCUUUGGAAGCAGAAGGGAAAUUGGACCCGGAGGGAAAUUUCAACCGUGUUUUUCAGAUCAUCUAAACUUUCCACUGGAGUCUGAUGGUAAACUGCAACACAGCCUGAGAAAGCAGCCGUCUGCCGAUUGUCUGUGGAGCAGUGAGUUCACAGUAGCACCUCCUUUCCGCCCGGCAGGUGUUUCUGGGCCACAGCUUCUGCAUCAACAUGUGAGCCUGUGUUUGCGAUGGAAGCAGGCAGCCCCGUCCCUUCGGCGCGGAGACGAGCCGGAGCAGGCUGCCUCGCGCAGGCGUUCACCCUCGGGCCUUCUCUCCUGGACGCUGGGCACCAGGGCCGUCCGCGGGCUGCUGACUGUGCUUUUCCUCUCCAGAUCGUCGGGGACGCGGUAGCCUGGGGCUUCAGUAUACAAGCAUGUAAGGAACUUUGGGAAAAUGUUAGGUGGCCCCGUUAGCCAUUAGAACACUGCCCAUGCGGACUGGCAAGCCGCACCCUGAGAAGUGGUCCAGGCGUUCAGAUCAGAUGGCUGGACUUUCCAGGUGUGGAUAACAAAGGAAAGAGACUUAAAAUCACCCAUAAAGAGAUCGUGCUCUAUUUAAACUAUGCUGUUGCUUCCACAGCCUUGUCUGUUAGAUUAUGGAAGCCAUGGUGUAAUAAUCUGGCGCAGAGUUUAAAGAACUUUCUGGUGCUAGUGGUAAAGAACCUGCCUGCUAAUGCAGGAGACGCAGGAGACAUGGGUUUGAUCUCUGGGUCAGAAAAAUCCCCUNNNNNNNNNNNNNNNNNNNNNNNNNCAGUAUUCUUGCCUGGAGAAUUCCAUGGAUGGAGGGGCUGGUGUACUAUUAUAGUCAAUAGGGUCACAAAACGUCGGAUACUGCUGAGCAUGCAUCAUUAAAGAAAUAGGAACAAUUAAAAUAUAGCUUUUUUUCUUUCUAAACUUUCAACAGCUUUCAAGUGUUUCUUAAUCUAUGCAUGUCUUCCUUAAUCUGGCUCACCCUCAGCCUUCUUUUGGUUUGGAUACCUUGGCUGUGAAAGAGCCUCAAGCUUUGUCCUCAGGAAGACUGGCUGUGGUGUGUAUUUGCCACGGUAACACCUGAUCCCGGGGCUCACAUGUGGCUGUAACAGUGCGUGUGCCGACCUGGUGGCAGGUUUGGUGGUUUGAGGUAUUGCAUUUUGAGCAACUUGGAUAUUAUCUCUGACAAUAGAUCUCAGCUUG
rnacentral:lncRNA from 1 species